GACGUAGGGUGCAAGCGUUGUCCGGAUUUAUUGGGCGUAAAGAGCUCGUAGGCGGCUUGUUGCGUCGACUGUGAAAACCCGCGGCUUAACCGCGGGCUUGCAGUUGAUACGGGCAGGCUAGAGUUCGGUAGGGGAGACUGGAAUUCCUGGUGUAGCGGUGAAAUGCGCAGAUAUCAGGAGGAACACCGGUGGCGAAGGCGGGUCUCUGGGCCGAUACUGACGCUGAGGAGCGAAAGCAUGGGUAGCGAACAGG
rnacentral:rRNA from 1 species